ensembl:lncRNA
GAACUGUGAAGCUUUCCUACGGAAAAGAGUUGAUUGUUUUCGCCAAAGAGCAAGAUGAGCUUACAUCAAAUAAAGCUGUGUGUCGGAACUUUGAGUGAAUACCUUCACGCCGAAAUUGCAAAGAUGAGAUUAUGGAGGCCUAGGGGACUGUGUGAUAUGGCCAAGAGAAUACAGAAUUGAAGACAAGACUCAAACAAUAGAAUAUCAAAAACACACACACACACACACACACACACACACACACACACACACACACACACACAGAGGCUGGUGGUACAUGAACUAGAAUAUUCUGUCUUCUCUGUGGCCCAUUUAGAAUUCAACUCCUGCAGCUUUGAAGUUGCCACAUGUGGCCAGUAUUAAUGACUUUUCUCACUAGUGUGACGAAAUACCCAACAAAAGCCACACAUGGAAAGUAGGGCUUAUUUUGGAUCAAGAUUUGAGUGCAGUGUUCAUCAUCACAGUGAAGGAGCUGUGGUGUCUGGAGUGGGGAGCAGGUGGUCACACUGUUUCCUCAUCAAGAAGUGGAGAGAGAGAGGAAGGCAGGUCCUUGGCUAACCUUCUCCUUUUAAUUCAGUCUAAGACCUCAGCUCAUGGGUCUGUAAAUGCUGUCACAGACACCAGAAGGUGUUUGCAUGUGUGAUUAUAAAGCCUGCCAGGUUCACAAACAAGAUUAACAAACACAUGCCCUUUUUUGACUCUUCAUCCAGGCCACAGUAGUUGGCAUUCAAGCUUCUUUUUUUCUUUUAAUUUUAAUUUUUAUAAUUGUAAUUAGACCAAUUUUAAAUUAGAAACAAGCUAUGUCAGUCCCAGUUCUCUCUCUCUCCCCUCUGAAUCACUCUUGGAAGUGCUAACACACACACACAUAAAACCCAGCAAAUCGCAGGAUUGUCACCAUCUCUCUUGCACUAAAUCUCAGGCAGGUGGCGCUGUUCCCCAAACACUCUUGGCCCUCCUCAAAGCUCCUUCCUGCUCCCUCUCCCAGGCUCUUUGGGUACUGUAGGAGAGACUGUGGCCAGCCUACCCAAGCUGCAAUCCCUCCCACCCUGUGCCCAGGCCAGCCAGCCUGCAAGGACAUGGGCAGCAGGAACUUCUUCCCUGAGCCAAGCCUGCCUCUAUGCCCAGAGACUGCCGAAGAAGAGACACCUGACCUGGAGACACCAAUGAGAAAAGGACAAUGAAGCAGAGUCAGCUGCCUGAGCCAAUAGGACCUUGGCAGGGGGUAUAAAAGCAGGUCUAACUUCCUUAAUAAAUGAGUCUGCAGCAGGCUCUGCUACUCACAGACUCCCAGUGCCUGAGUCAUUGGUGCUGCAUCUUCUCACUCCUUCCCCCAAGGGGUGUCCUAGUAGGGUAACUGGCAACAUCUCAUGGACCCUGUGCUGGCAUGGGUCUCUGCCUGCUUGAAUCAGGGUGUAUUUUUUCCCCAUCGCUGUGGCUGAUUUUUGGGCCUUGAUCUUUGCCUUUUGUUGCUGGUGGUGCAUUGGCAGAUGAAUCCAUGUAGGUGUACUUUUACUUUCUCUAUCAGCAGCAUGUUUCCGAACCCCCUUUUUGGUGACUUGUUUGGUGAGUUGGCCCUCGUGUGUUUCAUGUCCUUGGUCCUUGAGAAGGUGAGCGAGGGGACCCUCCUUUUCCGUCUCUUCCUUUUGGCAGUCUGGU